UCGGUUUUGCAUCGUGCAGGAAUAUUAAUCCGUAUCGAAAAUAAUGUUUAUUUGUGCAUAGUGAUGUGAACGAGAGCUGCUUCCAUUAAUAAAAAUGGAAAGGAUUUAGUUGACCGGAACCUGGUUCGCCGUUCGCUCUUAUCAUCGUCAUCGAAAAAUGAAAAAUGGGCAAAAAAUGUGUGGUGCACGGCUGCGGAAGCCGAACCGGAGAUACGGUUUCAUUUUACGGAUUUCCGAACGAUCCUGACACUCGAGCUCCCAUAUUUUGUAUAUUCGUACAGAGCUUACUGGCAAAAAACCAGACAUCUCAGUGUUUGAUGAAGAACUGUGCCCUGCGUUAAACCACAAAGACCCCGUUAUUCGUAUGAAAGCUACUCAGUUGCUUUCUAUCGUUCAUAAAAAUCUUUCAUCCGACUUGUUGUCCGAGGCACAGACAACACAUACUACUGCGACGACUGUGACCGGUUGAAAAACCAUUAGGUAAUUCCAGCUAUUCUGGAGCCUCUAUUAAACACUUCCCGCGUGGUUCGGCCGUCAAACUUUCCAGCCAAGCGAAGGAUGAACGUGCCAAAUACAAAAAGUUGCUGGUGGCCAAGAUGGAUUCGUUACGAUUGCUGAAAAAAAUAUUGCGGAGCGUUUGACAUACCGGAUAUGAAAAACACUUGGACGAUAUAUGGAAUACUUUGAAAUUGGAGCUGAUGCCAGGUGGUGGCAACAAGGAAUAUCUGAUAUUUGAACUGGCGCUGGAAACAACGGCUCAUCAAAUUUACACAAUUAUCGACUGUAAUGAGUAGCGUUGCGGACUAAAAUGUUUGAAAACGGUAUCAAAGUUCCACUGGCCGGUGCGAGAGGACCGUACGAGUCAGCACAUUUUGAGGCUAAUAAGCUUCUGCCUAUGACAUUAUCCCAAUUAAAGGAGGACGCAAUCACGGAACAUCUCGUGCUAAACCGAACGUUGUUGGUUUGCAUGGAGAAGGAACAUGACAUCUUGAAAUAAAUAGAUCAGCAGCCGCUCGAAGUUGUGCAAAAGCAGUUUGUCCAAAUUCCAAUUUCAUCUGGAAAUG